rnacentral:rRNA from 1 species
GACAGAGGGUGCAAACGUUGCUCGGAAUCACUGGGCGUAAAGGGCGCGUAGGCGGGAAUGUAAGUCGGGCGUGAAAUCCCUAGGCUCAACCUAGGAACUGCACUCGAAACUGCGUUUCUUGAGUAUCGGAGAGGAAAGCGGAAUUCCUGGUGUAGAGGUGAAAUUCGUAGAUAUCGGGAGGAACACCAGUGGCGAAGGCGGCGAUCUGGGAAGAUACUGACGCGUGAGGUGGCGAAAAGCGUGGGGAGCAAACAGG